GAAGUCCUGGCUGUCUGUGAUCAUGUAAGCACCCGAGGCACUCUUUAUGACAGAAAGGUUGUUAUCCCUGGUUUCCUGACCAAAUUCUAAUGCUGGGGACAUUUCAGCUGUUUUCUUGAUUAAGAGCCAUCCUAUAAUGGAGGAUCUUCAUUUCUCUUUCAUUUGAAUCAACCGUUUGCAGUUUAUCUGCGUCUUUCUGGUAAUGGGGUGGCUAGAACAGAAUGGAAUAUACAAUGGCAACAAGGCAGAGAGUGUUGAGAUCUGAAGACGCAAGAG